rnacentral:snRNA from 1 species
UUGCUUCAGGAGCACAUAUAUUAAAAUUCGGACGAUACAGAGAAGAUUAGCAUGGUCUCUGCACAAGGCUGACAUGCAAAUUCAUGAAGCAUUCCAUAUUUUU